CUCUGCUUCAGCUGUGGGGCCACAGAAGGCAGGAUUCAGGGAUGGUCUCCACCAUGGCUUGGUCCCCUCUCCUGCUCACCCUCCUCGCUCACUGCACAGGGUCCUGGGCCCAGUCUGUGCUGACUCAGCCUCCCUCAGUGUCUGGGAACCCAGGACAGAAGGUCACCAUCUCCUGCACUGGAAGCAGCUCCAACAUUGGGGGUAAUUAUGUGCAGUGGUACCAACAGGUCCCAGGAAAGGCCCCCAAACUUUUCAUAUAUUAUGAUAGCGAUCGUGAGUCUGGAGUUCCUGAACGAUUUUCUGGCUCCAAGUCUGGCAGCUCAGCCACCUUGACCAUCACUGGGCUCCAGGCUGAGGAUGAAGCCGAUUAUUACUGCCAGACCUAUGAUGAUGAUCUUGAUGCUCACACAGUGCUGCAGGGUUAUGGGGAAGUGAGACAAGAACCCCUGUGGCAUCUGUGAGCUGGGUGAACACUGCAGCAGCUGCUGCUCAGGCUCGGCCUGUGCCCUGUGACCUCUGCUCAUUCUCUGGCUGCUGUACUGACCCAGGUUCACCCAGGGACACUGUCUGGGACAAAAGGGUUCUCCUCUCUCUUCUGUCUUUAAUGUCACUCACGGCACCACUUUCCUAGACUAAGGGUCCAAAAAUAACUGAAAGACCAAGUCCCCCCAGCUGGGGACAGUUGAGUUUCAGACUGGUUUGUAUUCAUUGUUCUGUGUAAUGGGUAACACAAAUGUAACAUUGUGUUGGGCUCCUGAACCUACCAUGGGGCCUCAGAACCACGUGUGCUGUACGUGAAGGAUGAGUCAGUGUUUCCUGGGGUCUCGUAUUAUAAUGUUCUUCACUGUGUCAGUGGUGAACUGCUUUGUUUUCUCUUCCGACUUUUAGUACAAAAUACAGUCUUUAAAAAGUAUAAUUUAGAACAAUUUGGUGGUGUCCAGACAUGGGGGAGGAAGGGGUUGGUCCAUGUGGGUAAAGGGAGUCCAAGGGCACAAAGUUCCAGUUUUGAAUUAAAUGCUCCUGGGGACGUCACGGACAGCACGGGGAUUAGGGUGGAGAUGCUGUGAUCGUGUGAGUGUGAACGCAGCUGAACAAGCAGAUCCCAAACAUUCUCAGCACAAUAAAUGUUACAAAUUGUAUCUAUGUAGUGACAGAUGUCAACUACACACAAUCUCAUGGUUCAUUUUUUGCAAUAUAUCCAUAUAGAACAAUAAUGCUGUAUUCUUAAAACUAAAAUAGCAUUGUAUGU